CUGAAUAGGGCGUUUAGUAUUUGGUCGUAGACCCGAAACCAGGUGAUCUACCCUUGGUCAGGUUGAAGUUCAGGUAACACUGAAUGGAGGACCGAACCGACUUACGUUGAAAAGUGAGCGGAUGAACUGAGGGUAGCGGAGAAAUUCCAAUCGAACCUGGAGAUAGCUGGUUCUCUCCGAAAUAGCUUUAGGGCUAGCCUCAAGUGAUGAUUAUUGGAGGUAGAGCACUGUUUGGACGAGGGGCCCCUCUCGGGUUACCGAAUUCAGACAAACUCCGAAUGCCAAUUAAUUUAACUUGGGAGUCAGAACAUGGGUGAUAAGGUCCGUGUUCGAAAGGGAAACAGCCCAGACCACCAGCUAAGGUCCCAAAAUAUAUGUUAAGUGGAAAAGGAUGUGGCGUUGCCCAGACAACUAGGAUGUUGGCUUAGAAGCAGCCAUCAUUUAAAGAGUGCGUAAUAGCUCACUAGUCGAGUGACACUGCGCCGAAAAUGUACCGGGGCUAAACAUAUUACCGAAGCUGUGGAUUGUCCUUUGGACAAUGGUAGGAGAGCGUUCUAAGGGCGUUGAAGCAUGAUCGUAAGGACAUGUGGAGCGCUUAGAAGUGAGAAUGCCGGUGUGAGUAGCGAAAGACGGGUGAGAAUCCCGUCCACCGAUUGACUAAGGUUUCCAGAGGAAGGCUCGUCCGCUCUGGGUUAGUCGGGUCCUAAGCUGAGGCCGACAGGCGUAGGCGAUGGAUAACAGGUUGAUAUUCCUGUACCACCUAUAAUCGUUUUAAUCGAUGGGGGGACGCAGUAGGAUAGGCGAAGCGUGCGAUUGGAUUGCACGUCUAAGCAGUAAGGCUGAGUAUUAGGCAAAUCCGGUACUCGUUAAGGCUGAGCUGUGAUGGGGAGAAGACAUUGUGUCUUCGAGUCGUUGAUUUCACACUGCCGAGAAAAGCCUCUAGAUAGAAAAUAGGUGCCCGUACCGCAAACCGACACAGGUAGUCAAGAUGAGAAUUCUAAGGUGAGCGAGCGAACUCUCGUUAAGGAACUCGGCAAAAUGACCCCGUAACUUCGGGAGAAGGGGUGCUCUUUAGGGUUAACGCCCAGAAGAGCCGCAGUGAAUAGGCCCAAGCGACUGUUUAUCAAAAACACAGGUCUCUGCUAAACCGUAAGGUGAUGUAUAGGGGCUGACGCCUGCCCGGUGCUGGAAGGUUAAGAGGAGUGGUUAGCUUCUGCGAAGCUACGAAUCGAAGCCCCAGUAAACGGCGGCCGUAACUAUAACGGUCCUAAGGUAGCGAAAUUCCUUGUCGGGUAAGUUCCGACCCGCACGAAAGGCGUAACGAUUUGGGCACUGUCUCAACGAGAGACUCGGUGAAAUCAUAGUACCUGUGAAGAUGCAGGUUACCCGCGACAGGACGGAAAGACCCCGUGGAGCUUUACUGUAGCCUGAUAUUGAAAUUCGGCACAGCUUGUACAGGAUAGGUAGGAGCCUUUGAAACGUGAGCGCUAGCUUACGUGGAGGCGCUGGUGGGAUACUACCCUAGCUGUGUUGGCUUUCUAACCCGCACCACUUAUCGUGGUGGGAGACAGUGUCAGGCGGGCAGUUUGACUGGGGCGGUCGCCUCCUAAAAGGUAACGGAGGCGCUCAAAGGUUCCCUCAGAAUGGUUGGAAAUCAUUCAUAGAGUGUAAAGGCAUAAGGGAGCUUGACUGCGAGACCUACAAGUCGAGCAGGGUCGAAAGACGGACUUAGUGAUCCGGUGGUUCCGCAUGGAAGGGCCAUCGCUCAACGGAUAAAAGCUACCCCGGGGAUAACAGGCUUAUCUCCCCCAAGAGUUCACAUCGACGGGGAGGUUUGGCACCUCGAUGUCGGCUCAUCGCAUCCUGGGGCUGUAGUCGGUCCCAAGGGUUGGGCUGUUCGCCCAUUAAAGCGGUACGCGAGCUGGGUUCAGAACGUCGUGAGACAGUUCGGUCCCUAUCCGUCGUGGGCGUAGGAAAUUUGAGAG
rnacentral:rRNA from 1 species